rnacentral:rRNA from 1 species
GAUGAACGCUGGCGGCGUGCCUAAUACAUGCAAGUCGAGCGAACAGACGAGGAGCUUGCUCCUCUGACGUUAGCGGCGGACGGGUGAGUAACACGUGGAUAACCUACCUAUAAGACUGGGAUAACUUCGGGAAACCGGAGCUAAUACCGGAUAAUAUAUUGAACCGCAUGGUUCAAUAGUGAAAGACGGUUUUGCUGUCACUUAUAGAUGGAUCCGCGCCGCAUUAGCUAGUUGGUAAGGUAACGGCUUACCAAGGCAACGAUGCGUAGCCGACCUGAGAGGGUGAUAGGCCACACUGGAACUGAGACACGGUCCAGACGCCUACGGGAGGCCGCAGUAGGGAAUCUUCCGCAAUGGGCGAAAGCCUGACGGAGCAACGCCGCGUGAGUGAUGAAGGUCUUCGGAUCGUAAAACUCUGUUAUUAGGGAAGAACAAAUGUGUAAGUAACUAUGCACGUCUUGACGGUACCUAAUCAGAAAGCCACGGCUAACUACGUG